GUCUUUUGUCUUUCAGGGCCACUCUGGUGGCAUAUGGAGGUUCCCAGGCUAGGGGUCUAAUCAGAACUGUAGCUGCCAGCCUGCGCCACAGCCACAGCAACACCAGAUUCGAGCCGCAUCUGCAACCUACACCACAGCUCAUGGCAACGCCAGAUCCUUAACCCACUGAGCAAGGCCAGGGAUCGAACCCGCAACCUCAUGGUUCCUAGUCGGAUCUGUUUCUGCUGUGCCGCAAUGGGAACUCUGAUAACCACCAACUUGGUGGCUGAGACAAUACAAAUGUUUUCUCAUACCAUCUGAAGGUCAGGAGUCCAGAGUCAGUCUUGCUGGAUCAAAGUCAAGAUGUUGGCCUGGCUGAUUUUUCUGGAGACUCUGAGGGAAGAAUCGUUUUUUGCCUUUUUCAGUUUGUAGAGGCUACCUGCUGGUGGUUCUUUGUGUCAUUCCAACCUCUUUUCCUGUCGUGGCUCAUCAGUAAGGAAGCUGACUAGGAUCCAUGUAGAUGCGGGCUCGAUCCCUGGCAUUGCUUAGUGGGUUAAGGAUGUUGUGAUCUGUGGUGUAAUUCGCAGACACAGCUCGGAACUGGCCUUGCUGUGGCUGUGGUGUAGGCUGGCGGCUGCAGCUCCGAUUUGACCACUAGCCUGGAAAUUUCCAUAUGCCGCGGGUAUAGCCCGAAAAAAAAAAAAAAAAAAAAACUUUGUGAUUAUAUGUUGCCUACCUGUAAUCUAGGAUAAUCUCCCAUCUCAAAACUCUCAACCACAACUGCAAAAUUCCUCUUACUUUAUAAAGUAACACAGUGAAACCUUUCAUGGAUUAGGAUGUGGGUAUUUGGUGGGGGACAUUAUCCUGCCUCCCCCAGUGACAUUUUGUUUGCUUUAUUUUGCUUUGUAGCUAUUUUUCUUGUUAUCGUGUACAGCAUUCUUUUGAAUAGUUCCUGAAUCAGGUUAUAAAUUCCUCAAAGAUAACAACUCUUCCAUGUUUUAUACAUUUUCCUACUUCAUUAUGUCAUGUGUUUAAAGUAAAAACAAUGCUCAUAAUAGGCACUCAGUAAAGCCCACUGAUUUAAAUACUCUUAAAUUACAGUCUUUAGAAGGAGGCAUGGAUCUGGUCUACGUAUGUUCCAGGAAAAACAAAAUCUUACCUUUGACUUUUGAUUGUACAAACAGUUAGGCUAUGCAAGAAGUAAUGUAGAGUGAAAGCAUUAGAAUGUAACUUAUUUUCCAGAAUUCUCACUGUUGAACUGUAGACAGGUUUGGGGACAUUCAAUUAAGUGUCAAAAUUUACCAGAAAUCCAUGGGAUUAUUCCCGCCACACACUUCCCUCUGAUAAAAAGAGAACUAUUGCAAUUCUCGUGAGUGGAUGUGAAAACUUACACUGUAUGCUUUAACCUGCUCUCCCCAUAAACUUUGGAGGGAGAAUUGUUAUACAAUGGAAUUUGUUUCUGAUUUUUGCUACAAUAGUUGAUAAGCAGUGUACUGUGACUGAAAAUGAAUAUAGACACAAAAUAAUUCUCUCUCAGACAUAGGUACAUCUCCAAUGCAUGAUUGUUCAUCACUUACGAGUUGAAUUAGGAAAUUAUGGAGCCCAAUAUGUAAUUUUAAGGUAUUCAAUUUACAUUAAUAGAUAUCUAAAUGAACCAUAGAAUUAGCUUUAAAACAUAUAGCUCAAUUCACAUUCAUAAUUUUAAAAGUUAGUGAUGCUAUACUAUAUGGUAGUCUUGCAUAUAGUAUUUUGGUACAUAAUUAAGAUGAAAAGAAUAUCUUUGUCCUUAGCCCUCAAAAUUUGCAGUUGACCUUUUGUUCUUGACCUGUGCUGCCUUCAUAUUCCUGGCCCCACCCUGAGUUUUCUUCUCUAGAAUAGUAGAAUCUGAACUGUAAAGUUGGAAAGGACCCUAGAGGCCAUCUUUUCAAUGUGGAUGUUUUACACCUGAGUCCAUAGUUCUAGAGACAUUAAUUGACUUGCUUCAGAUCACACAGCUACUGGCAGAGCUUUAUUAGAAAUGCAGUUCUCCAAAACUCUGUAACGAUUUCCCUGCCCACGCCCCCACCCCAAUUAGGAAAGAUAGUUUAAGAGUAUAGGAAAAUAAGAGAAGUCUAGUAGUAAAGCAUUAGAGGGUGAGAGGAUUUUGGAAAUACUGUGGCUUAAGGGAAACAUGGUUCUCAGUCUCCUACUUUCCAAAGCUUAUUGUCUGUUAGAGCAGGAGGAGGAAGAUGUGUCUGCUUUGGGGGGUGAAAAUAAUGCCGAGGUAAAGGUUUAAUUCUGAUAGAGGGCUGGUGGGGAACUUCUCUCCACUAUGUGAAAGGAGCUCCUGAGAACUAAGGUCACAGGACCUGGAGAAAAAGAUAAUAAUAAAGGAAUGAGUAAAGAGAUACAAGGAAAUUGCAAAAAUAAAAAGAAAGAAAAAAGAAAGCAGAUGUGGCAAAAGUAAGAAUUAUGUUAAUAGUAGAAAAAGAGGUAUGUAAAGUUAAAAAUAGUAAUCAAUAUAGGCAAAUUUUGAGUAAUAAAGUGAUAAAAUGAACAAUUCAUGAAGACACUGAAACACCAAACAACAAAAGUCAGCAAAGACCACAUAGUAGCUAAAUAUAAAAAGGAAAAUCUAGGGGAGGGAUAAAUUAGGAGUUUGAGAUUAACAAAUACUUACUACUGUAUCUAAAAUAGAUAAAUAACAAGAAAGACCUAUUCUACAGCACAGGGAAAUCUACUCAAUAUUCUGUAAUAACCUAUAUGGGGAAAGAAUCUGAAAAAGAACUGAUAUAUGUAUAUGUAUAACUGAUUCACCUUGCUGUACAUCUGAAACUAACACAACAUUAUAAGUCAACCAAACAAAUAAAAUAUUUUUUAAGAGAAUAUUGGAGUUCUCGUCAUGACGCAGCGGUUAACGAAUCCGACUAGGAACCAUGAGGUUGCGGGUUCGAUCCCUGCCCCUGCUCAGUGGGUUAACGAUCCAGCGUUGCCGUGAGCUGUGGUGUAGGUUGCAGAUGUGGCUCGGAACCCGAUCUGGUGAGGCCGGUGGCUACAGCUCCGAUUAGACCCCUAGCCUGGGAACCUCCAUAUACCACGGGAGUGGCCCAAAGAAAUAGCAAAAAGACAAAAAAAAAAAAA
rnacentral:lncRNA from 1 species